rnacentral:lncRNA from 1 species
GGUUACGCCAUGAGAAAACAAAGAUCAAGAAAAUAGACAAGGGAGGACCCUCAGAUUAUCAGACAUUAAAAUGGUCCCAAAUUGUGGACCCUCCUAAUCCAGAUUUUCCCAAAGUGAAAUUUGACAAAGACGAUCCUUUUGGGUCAGGCAUGGACCCGGAAAUGAUGACCAAUAGCCUUAAAUCUUUUACCAAUAAACAACAGGCUGUUUCAUAAUUAUUGAUCUUUUAUAUGAAAAAAAAACAAUAUUUAAAAUUGAAAAAUUGUGUUUAGAACUAAUUUAUUGUUGUAUGAUAUGUCUCUUAAAUGCAUUUAUUUUUGCAGAAGGAAA